rnacentral:rRNA from 1 species
GUAGGUGGCAAGCGUUGUCCGGAAUUAUUGGGCGUAAAGCGCGCGCAGGCGGUCCUUUAAGUCUGAUGUGAAAGCCCACGGGCUCAACCGUGGAGGGUCAUUGGAAACUGGGGGACUUGAGUACAGAGGAGGAAAGCGGAAUUCCAAGUGUAGCGGUGAAAUGCGUAGAGAUUUGGAGGAACACCAGUGGCGAAGGCGGCUUUCUGGUCUGUAACUGACGCUGAGGCGCGAAAGCGUGGGGAGCAAACAGGAUUAGAUACCCUGGUAGUCCACGCCGUAAACGAUGAGUGCUAAGUGUUAGGGGGUUUCCGCCCCUUAGUGCUGCAGCUAACGCAUUAAGCACUCCGCCUGGGGAGUACGGCCGCAAAGGCUGA